rnacentral:rRNA from 1 species
AUUGAACGCUGGCGGCAGGCCUAACACAUGCAAGUCGAACGAGUGGCGGACGGGUGAGUAAUGUCUGGGAAACUGCCUGAUGGAGGGGGAUAACUACUGGAAACGGUAGCUAAUACCGCAUACCAUCGGAUGUGCCCAGAUGGGAUUAGCUAGUAGGUGGGGUAAAGGCUCACCUAGGAGACGAUCCCUAGCUGGUCUGAGAGGAUGAACAGCCACACUGGAACUGAGACACGGUCCAUAGUCCUUCGGGAGGCAGCAGUCGGGAAUAGUGCACAAUGGGCGCAAGCGUGAUUCAGCCAUGCCGCGUGUAGGAAGAAGGCCUUCGGGUUGUAAAGUACUUUCAGCGGGGGGGCGUUACCCGCAGAAGAAGCACCGGCUAACUCCGUGCCAGCCGCCGCGGUAAUAC